GUAAAGUACUUUCAGCAGUGAGGAAGGUGGGUAUGUUAAUAGCAUACUCUAUUUGACGUUAGCUGCAGAAGAAGCACCGGCUAACUCCGUGCCAGCAGCCGCGGUAAUACGGAGGUGCGAGCGUUAAUCGGAAUUACGUGGGACGUAAAGCGCAUGCAGGUGGUUUGUUAAGUCAGAUGUAGAAACGGCCCGGGGCUCAACCUCGGUAAUUGCUAUUUAGAAACUGGACAAACUAGAGUACUGUAGGAGGGGGUAGUAAUUUCAGGUGUAGCGGUGAAAUGCGUAGAGAUCUGAAGGAAUACCGGUGGCGAAGGCGGCCCCCUGGACAGAUACUGACACUCAGAUGCGAAAGCGUGGGGAGCAAACAGGAUUAGAUACCCUGGUAG
rnacentral:rRNA from 1 species